GAUGAACGCUGGCGGCGUGCUUAACACAUGCAAGUCGAACGAAGCACUUUAUUUGAUUUCCUUCGGUGCUGAUUAUUUUGUGACUGAGUGGCGGACGGGUGAGUAACGCGUGGGUAACCUGCCUUGUACAGGGGGAUAACUGUUGGAAACGGCUGCUACUACCGCAUAAGCGCGCAGCAUCGCAUGAUGCAGUGGGAAAAGCUCCGGUGGUAUACGAGGGACCCGCGUUGGAUUAGCUAGUUGGUGAGGUAACGGGCCACCAAGGCGACGAUCCAUAGCCGACUGGGGAGGGUGAACGGCCACAUUGGGAAUGAGACACGGCCCAAACUACUACGGGAGGCAGCAGUGGGGAAUAUUGCACAAUGGGCGAAAGCCUGAUGCAGCGACGCCGCGUGAGAGAAGAAGUAUUUCGGUAUGUAAAGCUCUAUCAGCAGGGAAGAGAAUGACGGUACCUGACUAAGAAGCACCGGCUAAAUACGUG
rnacentral:rRNA from 1 species